UUGAACGCUGGCGGAAUGCUUUACACAUGCAAGUCGAGCGGUCCAUAGGUUUCGGCCUAUGGGUAGCGGCAGACGGGUGAGUAACACGUGGGUAACCUAUCCCUAGGUGGGGGAUAACCACUCGAAAGGGUGGCUAAUACCGCAUAAGACCCCGGGUUUUUGGAUCUGAGGUCAAAGGCGCAAGUCGCCGAGGGAGGGGCCCGCGGCCGAUUAGCUAGUUGGUAGGGUAACGGCCUACCAAGGCAGUGAUCGGUAGCUGGUCUGAGAGGAUGAUCAGCCACACUGGUACUGAGACACGGACCAGACUCCUACGGGAGGCAGCAGUGGGGAAUAUUGCGCAAUGGGCGAAAGCCUGACGCAGCAACGCCGCGUGGGUGAUGAAGGCCUUCGGGUCGUAAAGCCCUGUCAGAUGGGACGAAGAAAGUGACGGUACCAUCGAAGGAAGCACCGGCUAACUCCGU
rnacentral:rRNA from 1 species